GAGCGGCAAAGCUCAAUUUGAAAUCCGCGCGGCUUGUACGUCCAAGAUUGUAAUUUUAAAAAAGCCACAUUGUGUCUGGUCCUUGUCUAUGUUCCUUGGGGUGACACCCCCUAUCUGGUGAGAAUCCCGUGUGGCUAGCAUCCCCAUUAAUUCUAGUGUGCUGGGAAUGAGUCUAGUUGUUUGGGAAUGCCUCUCUCAGUGGGUGGUAAAUGCCAUCAGACCCUAAAUAUUGGCGAAAGACCGAGGAAAAGUGAAUACAACGAUGGAAAGAUGAUGAAAACUUUGGUGAAAUUGUGGAAAAGGAAGGAAAAUUGUUGAAAGGGAAGGGCAUUUGAUCAGACAUGGCGUUUGCUUCGGCUUUCGCUGGGCCAGCAUCAGUUUUAGCGGUUGGAUAAAUCCUCGGGAAUGUGGCUCUGCUUCGGUAGAGUGUUAUAGCCCGUGGGAAUACAGCCAGCUGGGACUGAGGAUUGCGACUUUUGUCAAGGAUGCUGGCGUAAUGGUUAAAUGCCGC
rnacentral:rRNA from 1 species